AGCCAGUCAGUGAUCUUAACUGCUGAGCCCCCUAAAUUACAUAUUUAAUGACUGAAAGUGUUAACAUUUUUUAUUGUUUCAAUAGAACUUGAUUUUUGGAUUUUUUUAUUUUGGUCUGUUUUGUUUGUUUGUUUCUUUGACUGAUUGGUUGGUUUGGGUUUUUUUUGAGACAAGAUUUCUCUAGGCUAAACAAGUCCUGGCUAUCCUGGAACUCAGUGCUAUAGAAUAUGCUGUCCUUGAACUCAUAAAAAUCAGAUUGCCUCUACCUCCCAAGUUCUGGGAUUAAAGAUGCACACCACUACCACCUAGCUUAUUUCUCUGUAUCAUAAGAUAUAGACAAGCUAUGCCCAAUCCUGCUACUGCACAAAUUCUUCCAUCAUCCUGGCCACAGUUGCCCCUAGGCCUGCUGCCCUACUUUAGUGGGUUGUCAGGCUUACAAGGGGCUAGAACCGUAUAUCCUACCUCUCUGCUUCAAAGGGCCCAGUCAGGACCCAGCAGUAACAGCUAGUUAUUUCCCCAGAACCCAGAGGCUCAGAUCAUUUUCCUUGGUCACAUUCAAUCCUGAUCAUCUUCUGCCUCGCUUUAUUUCUCUCUGGACCACUGCUUUCAGAGCCUUUGCACUGCUCUGCCAGGAAUACCCCCUUCCUACUUUUCUUAAUGUUCUUCACCCUUACUUCCAGUCUCAGCUUGUAUCACCAUCCUGACUUGGUCAGCUAAAGGAUAUCACCUUAUCCAUAUGGUUCAACAGAGCUUUAGUUGGUUGCUCAGUCUGUCUCUUGAACAUACAUAUCAGCUUAUGAUCAUUCAUCUAUUCUCUCAGCACAUUUCCAUUGACUCAUUUGAGCACUGCAUGUGAAUGACCACUAACAGUCAGACCUGUACUCAGUGUAUAAAAAGUGUUUUAAGAAAUUGGUGAGCUUGCCUUUACUGAUAGUAGACAUAUAGUAGCAGAGACCUAGUGUGAUGGUUUGGAGAUAUGGCCUUGGUGGAGGAAGUAUUUCACUGUGGGCAUGGGCUUUAAGAACCUCAUCCUAGCUGCUUGGAAGCCAGUCUUCUCCUAGAGGCCUUUGGAUGAAGAUGUAGCACUCUCAGCUCCUCCUGCACUAUGACUGCCUGGAUGCUGCCAUGCUCCCACCUUGAUGAUAAUAGACUGAACUUGAGAACCUGUAAGCCAGCCCCAAUUAAAUGCUGUCCUUUUAAAAGUUGCCACAGUCAUAGUGUCUCUUCACAGCAAUGAAACCCUAAGAUACCUGGUCUUGCAUUUUCUGCCAUUCUCUCUUAGCCCAUGGUAAAUACUCAGUGGCUGCUGAUUAGAUGUGAAUGUGUGCUUUAUCUCAGGCACAUAUUUCUUUCAGGCUCUAGUCUUUACCUUUCCUACCCCUCUAUCUGCCAAAGUCACACCUGGACUCUUAGUAUAGUUCCAACAGCCACUUUUCAUAAUGCCUUUGAAAAGCAGAGCCCUGUCUGGCACUCAGCCUCCUUAAAGGGGUAAAGGGAGACAAUGAUGUGGUUAACACAAUACUUGUUAACUGCAAGCUUUCUUCAUGGCUACUUAGCAGGAAAAGAAAUGAUUGCUUGUGGAAUUAAUGACAACCUCUCUUUUACUGUAGGCCUAUGUACUAGCUGUACCUUGAGUCUCACUCACAGAUCAAAAUCCUGUACUUAGUGAGAGAAGCUCACCAAACCAACACUGUCACAACUGCAAGCACUAGCUCAUAGUCAUCUAAGGAUUCAAGCAGCCUUGAGUCUCUGUCUUUAUUGGCUUCUCCACUGUAUUCUUACAGCCUAUAAAGACAACCCAGUCUCUGUCACUAUGAAGGUUACAGCUCAUUCCAAGCAUUAAAGCUCGAUGAACUACCAGAGAGUAGUGGUCAGAGCUGGAGAGGAAGCAUG
rnacentral:lncRNA from 1 species